rnacentral:lncRNA from 1 species
GGCGGGUUGAAUAAUCAAGAAGAUCCCAACUCAUUCUAGGUUCUAACUAUCACUGAGCAACCCAUGCUUCAAUGACGGUCUGAACUUCGAAUUAAUUUGUAAAGCUGAUACUUAUAAAAUCUUGAGGAUUGGAAAGAAUGGAUCAGAAUACUUGUAAUAGAAAUUGAGAGUAAUGAGGUGUUUGGUUUUUCAAAACUUGGAAGAAGAAAACAAUCAUGGGUUUCAUUCUUAGAAAUAAGAGUUUAUUUGAGAAGGGUUUCAGUAUAAACCAUAUCAUAAUCUUGACAGAAUAAUCAGAACAUGCAAUAUAUAUUUGAGGAAGGAUUUAGGAAAACUUGUCUUAAAUCCGAUUCCACACACAGCUUAGUCUUAUCUUUCCAUCUCACAAUCUAUGCAUAUCAUAACCUCCCGACCAUCUCUGGAUAUACUCUAUUCGUAAUACGAAUUCGUUUCUUCGAUUCGUCUCUUCGAUUCGUCUCUUAUUCGCUUUGCAACAUCAUUUGACCUUCUGAACGUCUUCGAUCGUAUACGUCUCGUCCAAAUCCUUUACGAGAAUAAAAUACUACCAUAAUCACUAAAUAAUCUAUUGAUUCUUAUCUUACUAAUCAAACUCGGUACCAUAACCUAUCGCAUAUACAUACCACGUAUAUCGAUAACAUUCAACACAUAAUCAGAUAUCAACCUAUAUAGUGUCUAUGCACUUAUCAGAUAUCACUUAACAUAUAAUCAUGCUUUGACUCUAUCAUAUAGUCACGUUAUACUCCACAUAGCAUACUAUAACUCAAUCACCGUAUAGAUUCUAUUGAAAAUCUGACAGCGUCUCGUCUAUUUAUAAGACUAUCCAUUUGUUAACCUAUUCCAACCAACAACCAAUCAAUCAAAUCAAAUUCCUGUAAUCCACAUAUUCUUAUUCAACAUUAAUCAAGACAAGAUACUAUGUCUCCCAAAUCAUUUAUUAAAUCAAAAAUGGACACGUAUUUCAUGUAAUCAUCACUAUAUAGAAAAUAGAUCACGUAUAGUCACAUUAUGCAUUUUAAACAAUAUGUAUACACAUUGGAGACUCAUCCAUAUUGUUACAUCAUAUUAAACUAGACUUUAUAAGCUUUAACCUCUUUUUCGUUUCACUCGAUUCUGAAUUACGGGUCAAAAGUUAUGAUCAAAACCGUUUUCUCACUCUCCUAUCGACACAUAACACAUCCAACCAAUAGCAGACAACAUUUUUCACACAAGUCUUCACACCCCAAUUGAUGUCAAAUCAAGUCUCAUGUUAAAAAUGAUUUUUCGGGAAUUUUCUGAAAUUUCUAGACAUUUUUCAGAAUUAAAACGGGUAAAAGAAUCCAUUUUUGAAUAAAUCAUCAAGUCCGAUUGCUCAUGAUCGGAUCCAAAAUCAUUUGGAAUCAAUUAACGAGCCUCGAGCAUAUUUUAGAAAAAUAAUCCAAAGUUCGAAUUAUUUUUCGGAAUUUUCAAAUCAAAAUGAAUAAUUAAAUCUAAUUAAUUAAUCAAUUAAAAUCAAUUAAUAAUUAAUUAAAAUAAUUAAUCAAUUAAUAUUCAAAUUAAUUGACCAAUUAAAAUAAUUAAUUACUAAUUAAAUUUAAUUAAUAAACUAAUUUCAGAUUUAUUUUUGAAUAAAGAAGUAAUUGAAAACUAUUUUUGAAAACUAAGAUAAUUAAAUAAAACAAUUUUAGAAAAUUAAAUCAAAAGGUUUAUUUUGUAAACUUUUGAAAGUUUUCGGCCAGGGUUUAAAGUGCAACUUUUCAAAGUUACAGGGGGUAAUUCAUAAGUUUGAAAACCUGGGUACCACAACUUCAUCACCUUCAAAAGUAGGAGGGCCAAACUGCACUUUUGCAGCGGCACCUCCCCCAUCGCCGUUAAUCGCCGGAAUCGGCGUUUCAAGGAUCCUUUCCCCACCAGAAACUGCAGAUCUCAAAUACGGACCACCAGGAACAUGUACGUGUGGUUAAAAUCAUCAGAAACUAUGUGUACAAUCCGGAAAAACGAAGCAAAGCUUCGUCGCCACCGUGGAUAAAUUUCCCCGGCGAGCUCCCUACAAACUUCCUCCACUACUUCUUAAUAUCUCAAUCGAUUCCUCUCAACACAAUACACAUGCUAGUAAGCUUCGUUUUAGCCCAGAUUACCCAGAAAAGAAACGCCCAAUUUUAAUUAAAAAGCUUCAAGAACGUUCAAGAACACAGCCCAAUAAUCAAACUAACUUUUCUAUAUGAUUCCGAACUCGAAAUUCAACAUAUAAUAUAUGAAAACGAAUGGCAGGAGACGCUCUACAACAUGGAAUCAUCAAAUCACAUAAACAAGAUCGUUUGCAAAAAUUCAUAUUUAAAAUCCAAAUAAUUCGAAAUUAAAAGGUUAAAUCAGUAAUAACCUGUUAAUUCUGCACUUAUACGGAUGAUUACAAUAGAUUCCACGCGUCGAGAGCUUCGUUUUGACUAUUUAUACACCUCCAUCGGAUUCCAAUAACACCUUCAAAUCCUCGUUUGAUUGCGAAGAACACGAAGAACACCGCUAACUUCCUCUCUCGAUAAUCGUGAAGAGAAACUAGUGAAAUGAUUGUACGUGCGAAAAACUAUAGAAAAGGCUAUUUAUAGAGGAAGAUAAGAGAAUAUUCCUUGAAUAUGCUUUGGAAUAUUCUUAGAAUAUGCUUUAGAAUAUUCCUGGAAUAUACUUCACGUAUUUCGAGACAACCAGAUAAUUAUUAACUUUAAAAAUAUUAGCAAAAUCGUACCGGACCAUUUACGGGGCAAACCGUACUCCGGAUUGAAAAAGUUAAAACACGAGAAAUGCUCAGAAUGUCCCAAAUAGCCUAAUGGCGAAAUUUUCCCGAACGCCCACGGGGUUUAAAAUGCUAAAUAACUAUUUUAAUAUAAUUAAUAAUUAAACGAGAUUAAAUCCAUAAAUCGAUUAUAAAAUCAUGUAACAAUCCAUAAAUCGAUAUGAACAUAUCUAAAUAAACUAUAUUUUAUCCUGAUCAUAUAGAAAUUGAAAUAUCUCAAAUCCGAACAUAUAUGAGCAGUCAAUUUAAUAAACCAGAUAACACAAACCUCACAAAUAUUCAUAUAAAUAUCAUAUACUAUUCAUAAAUUAUCAAGAAAAUACCCAAAUGUUCCAUAUUUUAUUAUGAGAAUAUGAAAAUUGAAAACUCGUGAUUGCAACAUAUAUAAGCAAUCAAAAUAGAAAACCAGUUGUCAUAUAAUUUACCAAAUAUUCAUAUAAUAUUUACAUAAUAUUCAGAAAUAACCAUAACUAAUUACGCGAUCAUUACACACGUAACACUUAAUCACGUAACACAUAUAUUCACAUAUCAACCAUCUAACUUUUACAUGACAAACCUCUGUAUUUCCAGAAAUAAUAUUUGAAAUGAGUUUUGAAAGGAUAUUCAUAUAUCCGUAUAUAAAUCAUUUGAAAAUAUCUAAAUAACAUAGGACUCAUUCUGAUAAUAUCAAUAAUUAAACUCACAGAUCUGGCACAUAUAAAUAACAAUUACAGAAAUCAAUUUACACCAAAAUUCAUCCAAUAUUCACAUUUAAUUAUCAUAACUAAUUAAACUCAAAAUUCACAUGCAACACUUAGCCAUGUAAUAACUAUACUCACAUAGCAAUCUCUUAAAUCUUUAAAAUCAAUUAUAUAAAAUAUAAUUUUGAAAAGACAACCUUGUAUCAAUGAUACAAUAACCUGGAACUCAAAUAUACAAUUUGUAAACACAUUAAACUGGAAUAAAAUAUUAAACUUUAUUCCUUUCCUUCUAAGAAAAUAACUUUCAUACUGAUAAACAAUUUUUUUGAAAAAUCCGGGUCGUGAAAAUAUACAAAAUCACAGAAGAAGAAUGCAUAAUCGGUUUAAACCUUAUAAUUCACAUCACCAUUAUACUCAUACUACACAGACCAUUCAUCUCAUCAAAAAAAUCAACUAAAGCCAAUAAUAAUAUUCAAAAACUUAUUUCUAUAUUAAUAAGCUAAUUCUGAAAAUCUGGGAUGUUACAUUCUACCCCCCUUAUAAGGAUUCUGUCCUCGGAAUCCGCGAAAAGAACUACAAUGUACAUGCUUCGUAAUUCAUCCUCCACCUUUAAUCGAUCUUGGCAUACCUUUGACUUUAAAAAUAAGAGUAUCAAAACUUUCACAAUUAUAAAGUUCAGUUCUUAGAAUCAAUCUUUAAGAACUUAGAAUGGAAAAAAAAAUGUUCUCAAAAUAGGUAAUAUUUGAAUAAUAGAGUGACUGAGAGAUCAAUAUGAUCAAAUGAACUUAGUGUUGCGUGCCCAUAUUAGACACUACUAAAGGUUGUUAACCUUCUUGUAAUCACAACACACACAAGUGAUGGCGUCCCAUCCAACUCCUAUCACACAGAUAGGUAUACCUUGUGUCCCCGAUAUAUAGGGUUGUUCAUCCCAAUCAGAUGGAAGAAAUACCAAGGAAUCUUAAAGAAUACCAAAGAAUAUCAAGAGAUAUCAAGGUAUAUCAAAGAAUAUUACGGAAUGUCAAGGAAUAUCAGGAAAUAUCAUUGUCUUUUUCACAACCACUUUUAUCACACACCAAAAUCAAUACCACUCAUAUCAAUAAUCAAUACUAAUGUUUUCUCGUCAUUCGAGAAAUGGAAAAUCUCAUUUAUCAAAACUUUUGUAGAAAAGGUAUAAUGGCUCAAUGAUGAUGAAAAGAGUUAACAUAAGCUUUUCUUGAAAAAAGAUAUUGCCAAGGUCUUCUCAAAUUCUUGCUCUGCUCCAAUAAACCGUUGUUCAAUGUAUGUCUUCUUCUCGACGUUCUCGCUCGUGAUAGCUUCGUAGGAUUCCUUGUAGCCAUUAUUAUUCGCAUUGAAGUUGGCUCAUCUUGAUAUCAGAUGAAAUCCUGGUUAGCUUAAAGCGUCGUCGUCGAAGACUAACGUUCUAUCUUACUCACAACAUCACUUCUGAUAACUAGACUCAAUUCCACAUACUCUCUAUCAUUCACAUCUCAUCUAUCUACAAAACUCUCUUUCUAAUCCAAUAUAUCUCAUAUUCACACCCAUUCUUUUACAUCUUAAUCCAAACGAUAAACCACUUUCACCUAUGUAACGUGGUCAGAAUACUCUAACCCAUGCACCUUGAUCAUUCUUAACUUAAUCACUCACUAUUAAUACUCUUUUGACUAGGUCUAAUUCUGACUCUUAUCACAAAUUACUAUCUCAAUCAGUCCCCAUACUAGAAAAUAAGUAUCUGGACUUAGGAACCAUGAUCUAUCUAAACAUAUACCUUCAAUUUAACUUAACUAUCUAGAUUCUAUUCCGAUUACCUCUCUAGACUAUCCCCAGACAGUCUCACAAUACCUCUAUAUGAGGUCACAAAACACUUCCUCUCUAUAAAACUCAUAACCACAAUCUAUAUUCUAAUUUCAAUAACUUAUAACCUGUUGCUCUGAUACCAACUGUGACAGCCCGAGAAUCCGGGGGUCUGGAUUCUGACGUCACCACACAAAACCCAUUUUUAAACACUUUUGAAAACCUGUAUUUUUUAGAAGAUAAUAAAAACCAAAGCAUUUAAUACUUUAAGACUUUAAUAAAAGAUUUAAAAGAAAACACUUUAACCCCCUAAAAACAGGAUCGCAUCCAGGUUACAGUAUUGAAAUUAGAAUCAACCAUUAUCAAUAACCAAUGUCUUACAAUCUCAGAUCAUCUUUGAUAAGAAGAAUCACUGCCAAUCUAUUAAAUUAUGAUUACAACUGAUUCUCAAUAAUACAACUCUAUCUAGAACCAACCUUGUCAAUUUCCCUGAACAUUUCCACCUGUUCUCUGUAUACUCUAUAACUCUGACUCCUCGCCUAGCCUUAGCCAUACUCGCAAUCUCAAUCAAGCAAUUCAUCUUUAAGCUUUUCUGAAAUGGUUAAAAAGGAAUAGCAAGGGUGAGCAACAAUGCUCAGCAAGUAUGUAUAUAAGCAACAAUAGUCCUGAAAUGUCUUGUCAGGGUUCACAAGUUCAGGAUAUGUAAUUGAAAACUUCACAAUUCUUACCAGCAAUUGAAAUCAGAAUUCAAACUUACAGAAGAAUUGUCGAAUUGGAUUCAUCACAUUUUUACUUAAAACCCAAAGGUUAGGCUGCUGAUCAGUCACGCACUAACCCCGAACAUGGCACACAGCCCUGUUCUCUAUACUGGAUCCAAGGCACACAUUGGCCUAUAACUGACCACGAAUCUGGUCCACAUAUUUUAUAAAAACUAAUCCAAUUCUAACAAUUUAAAUCAAUAGAAAAUUCAAUCAGCAGAACGGAAUCAUAAUCAUUAUCAACAACAGAAAUAUUCUAAAUCAACUUUUGAGAAUCAACAUUUCAUAAACCACAGUCCGUUCUUUGAUAAAACAUAAUUCAGGAAAUUCCUAACUAUUAAGUAUCCUCCAUUAUCGGCUAAGCAACUGAAUUUAGCCUGCUAAACCAGCAUGACAAUGGCGGGUUGAAUAAUCAAGAAGAUCCCAACUCAUUCUAGGUUCUAACUAUCACUGAGCAACCCAUGCUUCAAUGACGGUCUGAACUUCGAAUUAAUUUGUAAAGCUGAUAUUUAUAAAAUCUUGAGGAUUGGAAAGAAUGGAUCAGAAUACUUGUAAUAGAAAUUGAGAGUAAUGAGGUGUUUGGUUUUUCAAAACUUGGAAGAAGAAAACAAUCAUGG